rnacentral:rRNA from 1 species
UACAGAGGGUGCGAGCGUUAAUCGGAAUGAUUGGGCGUAAAGGGAGCGUAGGCGGAUAAUCAAGUGGUAGGUGAAAGACCCGGGCUUAACCUGGGGAGGUCCUAUCAGACUGGUUGUCUAGAAUUCGGUAGAGGAAGGUGGAAUUUCUGGUGUAGCGGUGAAAUGCGUAGAUAUCAGGAAGAACAUCAAUGGCGAAGGCAGCCUUCUGGGCCGAUAUUGACGCUGAGGCUCGAAAGCGUGGGGAGCGAACAGG